rnacentral:rRNA from 1 species
UUUUAGGGGGAAUAAGGGUACAAGGUUUCCGUAGGUGAACCGCGGAAGGAUCAUCGCAGUAUUCCUUACCCACCGAUUAACUGCGCGGCGCAGGAAGUUAAUCAAAUUAACAAGGUUUCCGUAGGUGAACCUGCGGAAGGAUCAUUACUGUGAUUUAGUACUACACUGCGUGAGCGGAACGAAAACAAAAACACCUAAAAUGUGGAAUAUAGCAUAUAGUCGACAAGAGAAAUCUACGAAAAACAAACAAAACUUUCAACAACGGAUCUCUUGGUUCUCGCAUCGAUGAAGAGCGCAGCGAAAUGCGAUACCUAGUGUGAAUUGCAGCCAUCGUGAAUCAUCGAGUUCUUGAACGCACAUUGCGCCCCUCGGCAUUCCGGGGGGCAUGCCUGUUUGAGCGUCGUUUCCAUCUUGCGCGUGCGCAGAGUUGGGGGAGCGGAGCGGACGACGUGUAAAGAGCGUCGGAGCUGCGACUCGCCUGAAAGGGAGCGAAGCUGGCCGAGCGAACUAGACUUUUUUUCAGGGACGCUUGGCGGCCGAGAGCGAGUGUUGCGAGACAACAAAAAGCUCGACCUCAAGUACAGAUAAGAAACACCAACUUSC